rnacentral:rRNA from 1 species
GACGAACGCUGGCGGCGUGCUUAACACAUGCCAGUCGAACGGAAAGGCCCUGCUUUUGUGGGGUGCUCGAGUGGCGAACGGGUGAGUAACACGUGAGUAACCUGCCCUUGACUUUGGGAUAACUUCAGGAAACUGGGGCUAAUACCGGAUAGGAGCUCCUGCUGCAUGGUGGGGGUUGGAAAGUUUCGGCGGUUGGGGAUGGACUCGCGGCUUAUCAGCUUGUUGGUGGGGUAGUGGCUUACCAAGGCUUUGACGGGUAGCCGGCCUGAGAGGGUGACCGGCCACAUUGGGACUGAGAUACGGCGCAGACGCCUACGGGAGGCAGCAGUGGGGAAUAUUGCACAAUGGGCGGAAGCCUGAUGCAGCAACGCCGCGUGCGGGAUGACGGCCUUCGGGUUGUAAACCGCUUUCGCCUGUGACGAAGCGUGAGUGACGGUAAUGGGUAAAGAAGCACCGGCUAACUACGUG